rnacentral:rRNA from 1 species
CCUACGGGUGGCUGCAGUGGGGAAUUUUGGACAAUGGGCGAAAGCCUGAUCCAGCCAUGCCGCGUGAGUGAAGAAGGCCUUCGGGUUGUAAAGCUCUUUCGCAAGGAAAGAAAACUUAGCUACUAAUACUAGUUGAGGAUGACGGUACCUUGAUAAGAAGCACCGGCUAACUACGUGCCAGCAGCCGCGGUAAUACGUAGGGUGCGAGCGUUGAUCGGAAUUACUGGGGGUAGAGCUUGCACAGGGAUGUGAAAUCCCCGGGCUCAACCUGGGAACUGCGUUUGAAACUACAAGGCUAGAGUGUAGAAGAGGGGGGUAGAAUUCCACGUGUAGCAGUGAAAUGCGUAGAGAUGUGGAGGAAUACCGAUGGCGAAGGCAGCCCCCUGGGCUAACACUGACGCUCAUGCACGAAAGCGUGGGGAGCAAACAGGAUUAGAUACCCCUGUAGUC